rnacentral:rRNA from 1 species
AUUGAACGCUGGCGGCAGGCCUAACACAUGCAAGUCGAGCGAGCGGCGGACGGGUGAGUAAUGUCUGGGAAACUGCCUGAUGGAGGGGGGUAACUACUGUAAACGGUAGCUAAUAUCGCAUACCAUCAGAUGUGCCCAGAUGUGAUUAGCUAGUAGGUGGGGUAACGGCUCACCUAGGCGACGAUCCCUAGCUGGUCUGAGAGGAUGACCAGCCACACUGGAACUGAGACACGGUCCAGACUCCUACGGGAGGCAGCAGUGGGGAAUAUUGCGCAAUGGGCGAAAGCCUGAUGCAGCAAUGCCGCGUGUGUGAAGAAGGCCUUCGGGUUGUAAAGCACUUUUAGCAGGGAGGCGGUACCCGAAGAGGAAGCACCGGCUAACUCCGUGCCAGCAGCCGCGGUAAUAC